UACGAACGUUAUUCGGAAUUACUGGGCUUAAAGGGUUUGUAGGCGGCCAUGUAAGUCAGGUGUGAAAUCCCUCGGCUCAACCGAGGAACGGCGCUUGAUACUGCAUGGCUUGAGGGAGACAGGGGUAAGCGGAACUGAUGGUGGAGCGGUGAAAUGCGUUGAUAUCAUCAGGAACACCGGAGGCGAAGGCGGCUCACUGGGGCUUAUCUGACGCUGAGGAACGAAAGCCAGGGGAGCGAACGGG
rnacentral:rRNA from 1 species